AGAAAAUGUUAACUCUGUUACUUCUGUCACCACAUUGAGUGCCAUGGUUGAUUCAGCACUAAUCUGACUAGCUAGGCAAGCAUCCUCUUCCUCCUUCCCCACUCUGGUGUAUGUCCCUCCUUACCCAGUAGAUAAGGUCAGUUCUUUGGUCAAGGUCAUAUAAAUAACUGAAAAUCCCCUGCUAAAACCUCCAGACAAGUUUCUUGGGUCCAUCCAAAGCUCAUAGGGUAGUGAUAGGUCUAAUCCUCUGGGCAUAUGUAAACGAGAUACUCUAUGUGGUCUCCCUUC
ensembl:misc_RNA predicted gene, 25386